rnacentral:misc_RNA from 1 species
GAUCUGCUCAAGUGAAGAAACAUGGCAAAAUUGUGAUGGGUGCCAUCACCGAUGCUGUGGGAAAAAUAGACGAUCUUCUUGGUGCAUUGAGCUCCUUGAGUGAUCUCCAUGCCACCAAACUCCGUGUAGACCCUGGGAACUUCAAGAUUUUGUCCCAUAACAUCCUGGUGACACUUGCAGUUCAUUUCCCCGCUGACUUCACCGCAGAAGUACACGUGGCUGUGGACAAGUUCCUCGCGGCUCUGUCGGCUG